ACGGAAGGCAGCAGUGGGGAAUAUUGGGCAAUGGGCGAAAGCCUGACCUAGCAACGCCGCGUGAAGGAAGAAGGUCUUCGGAUUGUAAACUUCUUUUAUGAGGGACGGAGGACGUGACGGUACCUCAUGAAUAAGCUACGGCUAACUACGUGCCAGCAGCCGCGGUAAUACGUAGGUAGCGAGCGUUAUCCGGAUUUACUGGGUGUAAAGGGCGCGUAGGCGGGGAAGCAAGUCGGGUGUGAAAUCUAUGGGCUUGACCCAUAAACUGCACUUGAAACUGUUUUUCUUGAGUGCUGGAGAGGUAGACGGAAUUCCUAGUGUAGCGGUGAAAUGCGUAGAUAUUAGGAAGAACACCAGUGGCGAAGGCGGUCUACUGGACAGUAACUGACGCUGAGGCGCGAAAGCGUGGGGAGCAAACAGGAUUAGAUACCCUGGUA
rnacentral:rRNA from 1 species